ACUGCGAAAGGCUCAUUAAAUCAGUCGUGGUCUACGUGGUCGUGCGGCGACGAGAGUCGUCAGAGGUGGAUAACCGUGGAAAAGCUAGAGCUAAUACAUGCAAACGAGCGCCGACUUCGGGAGGCGUGCAUUUAUCAGACCGCACGUCGGCCGGGCGUCGGCGUCCCCGGGCUUCGCGGCUCGGUGCGUCGGCCGGCGUCCGUCGAUUGUGGUGACUCUGGAUAACUUAUCGUGCUGAUCGCCGGUCCGUUGGAGAUCGGGCGACGAACCACUCGAGCGUCUGACCUAUCAACUGUUGUCGGUAAGGUCUCGGCCUACCGAGGUUCUCACGGGUGACGGGGAAUCAGGGUUCGAUUCCGGAGAGGGAGCCCGAGAAACGGCUGCCACUUCCAAGGAAGGCAGCAGGCGCGCAAAUUACCCAUUUCAGACUCUGAGAGGUAGUGACGAGAAAUACCGAUGCCGGGCCUCGACGGGCGCCGACAAUCGAAAUGAGCGCAGCUCAAAACACUGAUGUCGUUCCGUUCAACGGUCGGGCGUCGCGAGGCGUCUCGGCCGCUUGGACGUGUGUCGUGCAAGUAUCGAUCGGAGGGCAAGUCUGGUGCC
rnacentral:rRNA from 1 species